ensembl:snoRNA
GUUGAGGCCUAUCCCGAUGGGACCUCUUUUGUAGGUUCAGGUCGUUGGAAAUGCCUCGUAGAGCAAACUUGUAGUUUCGCUUUACCCAUUCAACUAUUUGUUAGUUCUAUGGGAUAAAACUGCAAGACAAAC